UACGGAGGGGGCUAGCGUUGUUCGGAAUUACUGGGCGUAAAGCGCGCGUAGGCGGUUUGUUAAGUCUGCUGUGAAAUCCCCGAGCUCAACCUGGGAAUUGCAGUGGAUACUGGCAAGCUGGAGUACGGUAGAGGAAGGUGGAAUUCCCGGUGUAGCAGUGAAAUGCGUAGAUAUCGGGAGGAACACCAGUGGCGAAGGCGGCCUUCUGGACCGGUACUGACGCUGAGGCGCGAAAGCGUGGGGAGCAAACAGG
rnacentral:rRNA from 1 species